AUAUGUAUAUGUGUGUGUAUAUAUACAUAUACAUAUACAUAUAUACAUACACAUAUAUAUAUAUAUAUAUAUACACACACAUAUAUAUAUU
rnacentral:miRNA from 1 species